ensembl:miRNA microRNA 363
CGGGUGGAUCACGAUGCAAUUUUGAUUAGUACAAUAGGAGAAAAAUUGCACGGUAUCCAUCUGUA